CGACAACUCAGGUCACAGUAAAGAAAGCCUGCACUUUGACCUCUUUGGAAAAUUGCAUCCUUCUGGCACCAGGGGUUUGGUGGUAUCUUUUCUAAAUCUGUGAAACACUCAGAGGUUGGCACAAUGUCAUCUAUGUGACAACAUGUUUUGAUCAAAGAGAAAAUCCAAUUGGAAGGCUCCAAUCUUCUGAAAUAUGCAGAAGGUGUGACUAAUGAAUGCAGACCAACAAGGGUCAGGAAAGGAAACCUUUUGCUGAUGUUUUCCUGUUGGAAUAGUGGCUGUACACAUAUCUAUUGAUAUUUUAAUUAUCACCUGUGGACCCACAGCCACACAGUCAGCAUCCUGCUGGCCAUUCAGGCCAGUCCCAUGGCCCCAGCUUUGCCAUGGCCACAAUAUGAUUCGGAAGAGGACAUUGGAUUCCUUGGAACAGUUGUGAGUGGGUGCUGGGAACUGAAUGCAGGUCCUCUGCAAAAGCAACAAGUACUCUUUACCACUGAGCCAUCUCUCCAGCCUCAAGAAAAGGUGUAUGAAGUGUUCAUCGAGGCCAGAUCUUCUGUUCUUAUGAAGCCAGAAAUUUACAUGAGCUUUGGUGGGGCUGUGGGGCAGCAUUCGCAGGUCUUAUUCUUGGUUCGAGUGUUGGGUUCUUCCUGAAUUCCUGAGAUCCUGACCACUUUGUGAUGAAUGAAACAGCAUAGGUAGUAGUGCUGCUUUUUUAGAGCCUGGGAAAGCACAUAAGUAUUAAAGACACUUGCUUUAGAAAUGUCUCUGAUUGCAGCAGCCACUGCUGGGUUCCACAAGAGGGUGUUCUUAAUGGCCUUGCCCUUGGGCAUGCACUGGGCACAGCUCCUGCAGUGAAUCAACUACACAUCACCAUGACUGUUUUUGGCACAACUGUUAAUUACUCUUUUUUGGUAAUUUUGGAGCCAGGACUCAAAGCAUAAUUUGUUUCAAAAAUAUUUUAUUUUACUUUAUUUGUAUAAAUAUUUUACUUGUAAAAAUAUUUGUAUAAAUGUAUGUGCACCAUGUUGAAUCUCCUGGAACAGGGGUUACAGAUGGCUAUGAAUAAAGAGUAGCAACUGCUUUUAACUGCUGUAGCAUCUCUCUAGCCCAGAAACUUACUUUUAAUAGUUAUUUUGAAAAUAUUCAUGGAGUCUAAGAGGCCACACAUUUACAGUCACUCCUUUGUCAUUUUAAAGCACCCUAUUGGACACUGACAUGACUUCAUUUUGCCCCCUCUGGCUUUAUUUAUUUUUCUCUUUAAGUUUAUUUUCCCGAGCCACUCCUGAAGU
rnacentral:lncRNA from 1 species